GAGAAAUAUUUCCAAAGGGAAGUUGUCUCACCUUACAUGAGGGGUCCAAGGUGGGCUACAUAAAUUGCCAUUGGGAAGAGCCCUACUAACAGGAGCCUAGACAGCCCCCUUAGGCAAGGCACAUAAAUGGCUAAAUGUAGAUCUCAGAAAAUGAGGAUGCUGAGAAGAGGCUGGACAGAUGCUAUGGCAACAGCCUCCCAGAGAAGUAUGCUGGUUUGGUGCCCUGCCAGGAUAUGCUACCAAAUAAUUAUUCUCAUCCACUGUGGGAUAAAAAUAAUCAAGUUAAUUUAAAUGUUUUCAAACGUACUAGGAGAGAAGGACUUAUGCUAUCACCAUGCAGUCAGUGUUCAGGAACAAUGGAAACUUACGUGGUGGGAAGUGAACAAGGCUGUGGCUGACCCAACACCACCCAGCAGCUCUCAAGCUCCAUGUGAGCUGCAGUGCAUAAGGUCCUCUGCCUAAGCCUGAUCUGGUGGCCUUCUACAAUGGAGUGACAACAUCAGUGGACAAAGUAAGGGCAACUGAUAUUGUGUACCUGGACUACUGCAAGGCCUUUGACAUGGUUCCACACCACAUCUUUAUAUCGAAAUUGGAGAGGUUCCCAGUAUAUAGGUUACAUGGGAAUACUGACUCUUUGGAAACAAAAUAUAAUUUGA
ensembl:lncRNA